ACGAACUGAUGUCUAGCCGCAUAUCCAAAUCAACUUUGAUAAUACUAUCCAGUCGUGAGUUUCUUUGCCUCAAUGAAAAUCAGGUGUGCCAUUUGCUAGCAUCCAGCUCUUUGGCAGUAAACUCAGAAAUGGAGUUAUUGUACAGUGCUUUUAUGUGGCUUAAUCAUUUGUGGCCACGUCGUAGAUCCAGCACACAUUUAA